UACACAUCGCCCGUCACUCUCGCCUAGCCCCAAAAGCAAGAUGAGAAAAGUGGUAACAUAGUAGGCGCAUCGGAAGAUGCGCCUGGAAAAU
rnacentral:rRNA from 1 species